rnacentral:rRNA from 1 species
AUUGAACGCUGGCGGCAGGCCUAACACAUGCAAGUCGAGCGGGGUUUUCGGACCUAGCGGCGGACGGGUGAGUAAUGCGUAGGAAGCUGCCCGAUAGAGGGGGAUACCAGUUGGAAACGACUGUUAAUACCGCAUAAUGUCUACGGACCAAAGUGUGGGACCUUCGGGCCACAUGCUAUCGGAUGCGCCUACGUGGGAUUAGCUAGUUGGUGAGGUAAUGGCUCACCAAGGCGACGAUCUCUAGCUGGUUUGAGAGGAUGAUCAGCCACACUGGAACUGAGACACGGUCCAGACUCCUACGGGAGGCAGCAGUGGGGAAUAUUGGACAAUGGGCGCAAGCCUGAUCCAGCCAUGCCGCGUGUGUGAAGAAGGCCUUCGGGUUGUAAAGCACUUUCAGCGAGGAGGAAGGGUGGUGUGUUAAUAGCACAUCAUUUUGACGUUACUCGCAGAAGAAGCACCGGCUAACUCUGUGCCAGCAGCCGCGGUAAAAC